rnacentral:rRNA from 1 species
AUGGCAGGCGAGGGGCGGCCAGCCAGCCCGUUGGCGCCGGCGGAGCCACAGUCACAGCAGCACUACGACGACCACGUCGAUGAGAAGCAGCUCGACGACCAGCAGUUCCACGAGCUGUGUCAGCGAUAUGGGCCCUCGCAUCUUUCUGGCCGCCGCCAGCGGGUGGCCGCCGCGCCGGCUCAGAAGACGGUCCUCGAGAUUCGUUACGACAAGGGCUACCCAGAGUUCUCCGACGGCACCAGCUACAAUGGCAUCGGGGUGGACGACGCGACAGACACCGCGAGUGGCGCAGAGACUAAGAUGAGUCGUCGGAUGAUGAAGAAGCUGGCCCGUGCUGCUGUCUAA